rnacentral:rRNA from 1 species
UACGGGGGGGGCAAGCGUUGUUCGGAAUUACUGGGCGUAAAGGGCUCGUAGGCGGCCAACUAAGUCAGACGUGAAAUCCCUCGGCUUAACCGGGGAACUGCGUCUGAUACUGGAUGGCUUGAGGUUGGGAGAGGGAUGCGGAAUUCCAGGUGUAGCGGUGAAAUGCGUAGAUAUCGUGAGGAAGACCAGUGGCGAAGGCGGAUCUCUGGACAGCUCCUGACGCUGAGGCGCGAAGGCUAGGGGAGCAAACGGG